rnacentral:rRNA from 1 species
GACGAACGCUGGCGGCGUGCCUAAUACAUGCAAGUCGAGCGGAACUGGGGGAGCUUGCUCCUUCCAGUUUAGCGGCGGACGGGUGAGUAACACGUGGGCAACCUGCCCUGCAGAUCGGGAUAACUCCGGGAAACCGGUGCUAAUAGCGGAUAGUUUGGCGCCUCUCCUGAGGCGCUACGGAAAGACGGUUUCGGCUGUCACUGCAGGAUGGGCCCGCGGGGCAUUAGCUAGUUGGUGGGGUAACGGCCCACCAAGGGGACGAUGCGUAGCCGACCUGAGAGGGUGACCGGCCACACUGGGACUGAGACACGGCCCAGACUCCUACGGGAGGCAGCAGUAGGGAAUCUUCCGCAAUGGACGCAAGUCUGACGGAGCAACGCCGCGUGAGUGACGAAGGUUUUCGGAUCGUAAAACUCUGUUGUGAGGGAAGAACACGUACCAACUAACUAUUGGUACCUUGACGGUACCUCACCAGAAAGCCACGGCUAACUACGUGCCAGCCGCCGCCGUAA